rnacentral:rRNA from 1 species
GUGGCCAAGUUUUUAAGGGCGCACGGUGGAUGCCUUGGCACCAGGAACCGAUGAAGGACGUGGGAGGCCACGAUAGGCCCCGGGGAGUCGUCAACCAGGCUUUGAUCCGGGGGUGUCCGAAUGGGGGAAACCCGGCAGUCGUCAUGGGCUGUCACCCUUGCCUGAACACAUAGGGCAAGUGGAGGGAACGCGGGGAAGUGAAACAUCUCAGUACCCGCAGGAAGAGAAAACAACCGUGAUUCCGGGAGUAGUGGCGAGCGAAACCGGAUGAGGCCAAACCGUAUGCGUGUGAGACCCGGCAGGGGUUGCGUAUACGGGGUUGUGGGAUCUCUCUUGAUCAGUCUGCCGGCUGGUCGACGAGUCAGAAACCGUUGAUGUAGGCGAAGGACAUGCGAAAGGUCCGGCGUAGAGGGUAAGACCCCCGUAGUCGAAACAUCAGCGGCUCGUUUGAGAGACACCCAAGUAGCACGGGGCCCGAGAAAUCCCGUGUGAAUCUGGCGGGACCACCCGCUAAGCCUAAAUAUUCCCUGGUGACCGAUAGCGGAUAGUACCGUGAGGGAAUGGUGAAAAGUACCGCGGGAGCGGAGUGAAAUAGUACCUGAAACCGUGUGCCUACAAGCCGUGGGAGCGUCGCGUUGCAUGCUUGCAUGCAACGUCGUGACUGCGUGCCUUUUGAAGAAUGAGCCUGCGAGUUUGCGGUGUGUUGCGAGGUUAACCCGAGUGGGGAAGCCGUAGCGAAAGCGAGUCCGAAUAGGGCGGUAUAUAGUAGCGCGCUCAAAGACCGAAGCGGAGUAUCUAGCCAUGGGCAGGUUGAAGCGGAGGUAAGACUUCGUGGAGGACCGAACCCACCAGGGUUGAAAACCUGGG